rnacentral:rRNA from 1 species
AACGAACGCUGGCGGCAGGCUUAACACAUGCAAGUCGAACGCAUCCUUCGGGGUGAGUGGCAGACGGGUGAGUGACGCGUGGAAACGUGCCCUUCAGUUCGGAAUAACCCAGGGAAACUUGGGCUAAUACCGGAUACGUGCGAGAGCAGAAAGAUUUAUCGCUGAAGGAUCGGCCCGCGUCUGAUUAGCUAGUUGGUGAGGUAAUGGCUCACCAAGGCGACGAUCAGUAGCUGGUCUGAGAGGAUGAUCAGCCACAUUGGGACUGAGACACGGCCCAAACUCCUACGGGAGGCAGCAGUGAGGAAUAUUGGACAAUGGGCGCAAGCCUGAUCCAGCCAUGCCGCGUGAGUGAUGAAGGCCUUAGGGUUGUAAAGCUCUUUCGUCCGGGACGAUAAUGACGGUACCGGAAGAAGAAGCCCCGGCUAACUUCGUGCCAGCCGCCGCUGUAAAAC